AUUGAACGCUGGCGGCAGGCUUAACACAUGCAAGUCGAGCGGGCGAGGUUGCUUCGGUAACUGAGCUAGCGGCGGACGGGUGAGUAAUGCUUAGGAAUCUGCCUAUUAGUGGGGGACAACAUUCCGAAAGGAAUGCUAAUACCGCAUACGCCCUACGGGGGAAAGCAGGGGAUCUUCGGACCUUGCGCUAAUAGAUGAGCCUAAGUCAGAUUAGCCGGUUGGGGGGGUAAAGGCCUACCAAGGCGACGAUCUGUAGCGGGUCUGAGAGGAUGAUCCGCCACGCUGGGACUGAGACACGGCCCAGACUCCGACGGGAGGCGUCAUUGGGGAAUAUUGGACAAUGGGCGCAAGCCUGAUCCAGCCAUGCCGCGUGUGUGAAGAAGGCCUUUUGGUUGUAAAGCACUUUAAGCGAGGAGGAGGCUACUUGGAUUAAUACUCUAGGAUAGUGGACGUUACUCGCAGAAUAAGCACCGGCUAACUCUGUGCCAGCCGCCGCGGUAAAAC
rnacentral:rRNA from 1 species